rnacentral:SRP_RNA from 1 species
ACCGGGCGCAGUGGCGCGUGCCAGUAGUUCCAGCUACUCGGGAGGUUGAGGCUGGAGGAUCGCUUGAGCCCAGGAGUUCUGGGCUGCAGUGUGCUGUGCCGAUCGGGUGUCUACACUAAGUUCAGCAUCAAUAUGGUGACCUCCCGGGAGCGGGGACCACCAGGUUGCCUAAGGAUGAGUGAACCUGCCCAGGUCGGAAACGGAGCAGGUCAGAACUCCCACGCUGAUCAGUAGUGGGAUCGCGCCUGUGAAUAGCCACUGCACUCCAGCCUGGGCAACAUAGCAAGACCUGGUCUCU